rnacentral:misc_RNA from 1 species
AUUUGAUGCUGAGGAUGGUGAUGAAGUUGACAGCAUCAAGCUUCAAAAGCUGGCUGCACAGGCCAAAUCUUUCCGCCCAGAUGAUGAUGAUGAUUUUGACUCGGAUGAUGAUUAUAGUGAUGAUGAGGAGAUGCAGUCUCCUUUAGAUGAUGUGGACCCUUUUAUUUACUUUGUAGAUACAAUCAAAGCUAUGCAAGGAUUAGAUCCAAUGAGGUUUCAGAGUCUUACCCAAUCAUUAGAGUUCCAAUAUCAAGCUCUUGCGCAUGGUGUUGCGCAGCAUGCUGAACAGCGGAGAGUAGAAAUUGAGAAGGAGAAGCUGGAAAGG